GAUGAACGCUGGCGGCGUGCUUAACACAUGCAAGUCGAACGAAGCAUUUAAGACAGAUUACUUCGGUUUGAAGUCUUUUAUGACUGAGUGGCGGACGGGUGAGUAACGCGUGGGUAACCUGCCUCAUACAGGGGGAUAGCAGCUGGAAACGGCUGGUAAUACCGCAUAAGCGCACAGUACCACAUGGUACAGUGUGAAAAACUCCGGUGGUAUGAGAUGGACCCGCGUCUGAUUAGCUUGUUGGCGGGGUAACGGCCCACCAAGGCGACGAUCAGUAGCCGACCUGAGAGGGUGACCGGCCACAUUGGGACUGAGACACGGCCCAGACUCCUACGGGAAGCAGCAGUGGGGAAUAUUGCACAAUGGAGGAAACUCUGAUGCAGCGACGCCGCGUGAGUGAAGAAGUAGUUCGCUAUGUAAAGCUCUAUCAGCAGGGAAGAUAGUGACGGUACCUGACUAAGAAGCGCCGGCUAAAUACGUG
rnacentral:rRNA from 1 species